GAAUAUGAAGCGAUCUAUUGCAAUUAGUUUCGACCUAAUCUUAGGCACCUUACUAUGCCCUUAUUCU
rnacentral:tRNA from 1 species